CCACGCUGCACAGCACCGCGCCUCCUCCGGCAAAAGCGAUGUUCAGGCGCUCUGCGAGCAGCACCCGUGGGGAGCUCAGUGACCUUCUCGCUCCCAUCAUCCCUUGGGCCACAGUUUCUAAAGCAGCCCCACAAACACUCACCUGAUUUCGGCGUCAGACCUAUGAGGCAGGAUGAUGGAUUCACACCUGCCUCGGCCAUGCACCCCAUCACAAAACCAGAAGCCUAGGAGUGCUCCUGUCAUCUUGAUUUUUCUCUCACAUCAGUGAUUCCAAAAUAAGGACUUAACCUGUGUGCUUCUCUUCUUCUCGCUGUCCCCACCCACCAGAGUCUCCCACCUGGACUGUUACCAUUGCCUCCUAACUGACCUUCCUACUUGCAUGCCUGUCAUCAUCUGCCCAUUUUCAACAUGCCUUCCAGAAGACAAAAUCUAUACUUAUCAGCUGAAGUUUGCAUAAAAUGCUCCAGUGCCUUCCACUUGCACCCAGGAUUCAAUCCAAAGCCCCUCCCAGGGCUGCCCAGGCUGUUUCCCCAACCUCCUUAGGGCCAUCUCCUCCUGGCUCCUACCCUCCUUGGCCCACUGCUGCCCCCGGAUCACACCCAGCUCCUCCCAGGACCUCAGCCCUGGCUGCUCCAGACCUUCCACUUGGUCCCUUGCCUUCUGUCAGUUCCCAAAGGUCAUCUUCCCAGAGAGACCCUCCCUGACCCUGGGUAAACUGCGUCUCCCUAUGCUGCUCCAGCCAGCACCCUGUUGACUCCCCUCACAAUGCUAACAAGCAUCUGCAUUCCAUUUGCAUUUGUGGUUGUUUGCUUGUUUGUUCUGUCUCCCCCACUAGACAUUCCAGGAAGGUGA
rnacentral:lncRNA from 10 species